rnacentral:lncRNA from 1 species
AAACCCUGUAUUGAAAACCAAAUAAAGAAAAGAAAAAUGCAUAGGGAUAGAUGGGGAUGUAGGUGAGGGAGCCCAGCUGUGUAUGGUGAGACAGACAGACUGAUAAAUAACGGCUGUCAGAUGCUCAUGAAGGAUAUGGAUGAACUGAAUCCAUUCAGUUUGGAGGCAAGAAACUUCAUGGCAGUCUUGAAGGUAGGAACUACGGGGUGGUAUGCUGAGGGGAUCAAGAGGAAAGGAAGUUAAGCAAAAUAGAACUUCUGGAAGUUGACUGCAAAGAGGAGGUGCUAAAGGGGACGUGUUACAGGAGUUCGAGCAACAUAACAUAUGAAGAAGGGGGGAGGACAAGGAUUGAAGAAACGAGAGCACAACUGAGAGAUGUCCUUGAAGAAGAAGUGGGGAAACCUUUAGACCAGGGCGUCAGACUUACCUGGCUGCAGGCGGAAGAGCCAGGGCAGGGCAGACCUGCUGCAACCACACAAAGAGUCUAAAGGGUCCGUGCCCAGCAAUAACCCUCUGCACCCUCUGUCCUGGCUUGCCCUUGUAUAGGAGGGACACACGCUCACCCAGAAGCUGGGAGCCCGGCACGAGCCUCACUGGUCAGUGACAUAGGAGCAGAUGUGCCACAUGCCAACUUUGAGCCAAAGCUUUGAAGCAGGCCUGAGUUCCUCAGCACUUUGUUUUGAGGUGAUUCUUUCAGUCAGGCUUUUGGAGUACGGGCAUGAGCCUCAGUGCUUUAGGGGACCGCACCAUUAGUAUAAACCCUAUAAA